UGCAUUUUAGAGCUUAAAAAUGGGGAUGAGGGGGAAAAUUUCUAAGCAGAAAAAUCACAUCGUUUAUAAGGUAGAAAAAUCAAUCUGGCUUCAAGUAUUGCAUGCUGCCAUUUCUUUUUAGCCAUCCAACCAUCCAUCUACCUUUCUAUCCAUAGAUACACAUAGAGAGACACUGUAUCCGGGAUCAAGUUCAUGUAGUAUUCACUUUUAUUUUUUAUUUUUAUUUUUUAGAGAUGGGGUCUUGAUAUGUUGCUCAGGCUGGAGUGUAGUAUGCCAUGGUCCAGUAGCGUGACCAUAGCACACUACAGUCAAGAACUACUGGACUCAAGAGAUUCUCCCACCUCAGCCUCCCAAGCAGCCGGGACUACAGAGGCACACAACCAUACCUGGCUGUUCAUGGAUUAUUAACAGUGGUAAUUCUGAAUACAAAAAUCUUGGAUGAUUGGUAUGAUUUAUUCAUUGUAACUUUUGUUAUGACUUGAUUUUUUCAUAUUGUUUCUGUUUUUUUUUGAGACGGAGUCUCACUCUGUCGCCCAGGCUGGAGUGCAGUGGCACAAUCUCGACUCACUGCAACGUCUGCUACCUGGGUUCAAGUGAUUCUCCUGCCUCAGCCUCCCGAGUAGCUGGGAUUACAGGCACCUGCCACUGUGCCCAGCUAAUUUUUGUAGUUUUAGUAGAGAUGGGGUUUCACCAUGUUGGCCAGGCUGGUCUUGAACUACUGACCUUGUGAUCCAUCUGCCUCGACCCCCCGAAGUGCUGGGAUUACAGGCGUUGCCACCGCGCCCAGCCUUAUUGUUUCUGUUUUUAAAACUACUGUGGUGGAACAUUUUGAGAGUCAUUUAGUUAUAUUUGAGUGAACUAAUGUUCAGUUUACAAAAACUUUUUUGUUCAUAUUCUUCAAAAAUAGAAAAAGAACAGGGACAGUCUAAAUAUAGUUUAAAAGAUACUGCUUUUUGUCAGGGAAAUAACAGAAAAAGGAAUGAAGUUUAGCAGAAAACCUGAAUGCCAUUUUAGUCUGGAUUAGUCAGCUUCUGCUGUGGUAACAAACACUCCCAACAUCUCAGUGGCUUCAAUAAUGAACAAUUGUUUCUUGGUCUUAAGGGCUGAGAAUUAGCUUUCGAUCUCCUGGGCUCUGCUGGUAUCAUGUGUCUUCUGUUUCCAAGAAUCCAGAUUGGAAGAGUAACCUUUGAUGAUACUGAUGUGGAUAAAAUACUUGGCCCAUAGGCCUUUGGUUUGCCACUGCUCAUCUGGUGAAAGCAUUUUCCCCAUUAGGAUAAGCAGGUUUGCCAUUACCUGAGGGUAUGCAGCACAACUUUACUGUCUUACUCAAGGUCAAGUUCAUCAUCUUCAGCUCUUUAUCACCAAGAAUGAGGAACUCAGCCAGGCACGGUGGCUCAU
rnacentral:lncRNA from 10 species